AGUGAACGCUGUCGGCGUGCCUAAUACAUGCAAGUCGAACGGAGUGGCGCACGGGUGAGUAAUGUAUAGCUAAUCUGCCCUACACUAGAGGAAAACAUUUGGAAACGGCUGCUAAUUCUCUAUAGUGUAGGAUGAGGCUAUAUUGUAUCAGCUAGUUGGCGAGGUAAUGGCUCACCACGGCUAUGACGCAUAACUGGUCUGAGAGGAUGAUCAGUAACACUGGAACUGAGACACGGACCAGACUCCUACGGGAGGCAGCAGUAGGGAAUAUUGCUCAAUGGGGGAAACCCUGAAGCAGCGACGCCGCGUGGAGGAUGACACUUUUCGGAGCGUAAACUCCUUUUGUUAGGGAAGCGGUACCUAACGAAUAAGCACCGGCUAACUCCGUGCCAGCAGCCGCGGUAAUUC
rnacentral:rRNA from 1 species